CCCUUAGAUGUCCUGGGCCGCACGCGCGUUACACUGAUGCAUUCAACGAGCUUAUAACCUUGGCCGAGAGGCCUGGGCAGUCUUGUUAACGUGCAUCGUGAUAGGGAUAGAUUAUUGAAAUUAUUAAUCUUGAACGAGGAAUUCCUAGUAAACGCAGAUCAUCAAUCUGCAUUGAUUACGUCCCUGCCCUUUGUACACACCGCCCGUCGCACCUACCGAUUGGAUGGUCCGGUGAAGCCUCGGGAUUGUGGUUCUUGCCGCUUUAUUGUGGCGUGACCGCGAGAACUUGUCUAAACCUUAUCAUCUAGAGGAAGGUGAAGUCGUAACA
rnacentral:rRNA from 1 species